rnacentral:rRNA from 1 species
AAUUUUGCGCAAUGGGCGAAAGCCUGACGCAGCAACACCGCGUGAAUGUUAAGCCCUUCGGGGUGUAAAGUUCUGUCAGUGGGGACGAAAUAUGACGGUACCCACAAAGGAAGCACCGGCUAACUCCGUGCCAGCAGCCGCGGUAAUACGGGGGGUGCAAGCGUUGUCCGGAAUCAUUGGGCGUAAAGCGUUCGUAGGCGGCAUGUCAAGUCUGGUGUUAAAGCCCGGGGCUCAACUCCGGUUCGGCACUGGAUACUGGCAAGCUAGAAUGUGGUAGAGGUAAGGGGAAUUCCUGGUGUAGCGGUGAAAUGCGUAGAUAUCAGGAGGAACAUCGGUGGCGAAAGCGCCUUACUGGGCCAUUAUUGACGCUGAGGAACGAAAGCCGGGGGAGCAAAUGGG